rnacentral:rRNA from 1 species
CCUACGGGAGGCAGCAGUGAGGAAUAUUGGUCAAUGGGCGAGAGCCUGAACCAGCCAAGUCGCGUGAGGGAGUACUGCCCUAUGGGUUGUAAACCUCUUUUGUCGGGGAGCAAAAGCCGGACGUGUCCGGCUGUGAGAGUUCCCGUAGAAAAAGCAUCCGCAAACUCCGUUCCAGCAGCCGCGGUAAUAGGGGGGAUGCGAUGUUUUUCCGGAUUUAUUGGGUUUAAAGGGUGCGCAGGCGGAUUUUUAAGUCAGCGGGAAAAUCGUGGGGUUAAACCCCAUCUAGCCGUUGAAACUGGGGGUCUAGAGUGUGCUAGAGGUAUGCGGAAUGCGUGGUGUAGCGGUGAAAUGCAUAGAUAUCACGCAGAACCCCGAUUGCGAAGGCAGCAUAC